ACUGGUGUGCCCAAAUUGGUAAAGGGACUUGACUUAAAAUCAAGGAUUUGUGGGUUCGAAUCCCACCACCAGUA
rnacentral:tRNA from 1 species